GGUUGGUCUGAUGGGAGUGGGUUAUCAGAACUUAUUAACAUUAGUGUCACUAAAUUUGGUAUACAACCCCCAUACUGCCAAAUUUGGCUAAAUAAAU
rnacentral:Y_RNA from 1 species